UACGUAGGUGGCAAGCGUUUGUCCGGAAUUAUUGGGCGUAAAGCGCGCGCAGGCGGUCCUUUAAGUCUGAUGUGAAAGCCCACGGCUCAACCGUGGAGGGUCAUUGGAAACUGGGGGACUUGAGUACAGAAGAGGAAAGCGGAAUUCCACGUGUAGCGGUGAAAUGCGUAGAGAUGUGGAGGAACACCAGUGGCGAAGGCGGCUUUCUGGUCUGUAACUGACGCUGAGGCGCGAAAGCGUGGGGAGCAAACAGG
rnacentral:rRNA from 1 species